rnacentral:rRNA from 1 species
AACGAACGCUGGCAGCAUGCCUAACACAUGCAAGUCGAACGAGACCUUCGGGUCUAGUGGCGCACGGGUGCGUAACGCGUGGGAACCUGCCCUUAGGUUCGGAAUAACUCCCCGAAAGGGGUGCUAAUACCGGAUAAUGUCUUCGGACCAAAGAUUUAUCGCCUUUGGAUGGGCCCGCGUUGGAUUAGCUAGUUGGUAGGGUAAAAGCCUACCACGGCGACGAUCCAUAGCUGGUCUGAGAGGAUGAUCAGCCACACUGGGACUGAGACACGACCCAGACUCCUACGGGAGGCAGCAGUGGGGAAUAUUGGACAAUGGGCGAAAGCCUGAUCCAGCAAUGCCGCGUGAGUGAUGAAGGCCUUAGGGUUGUAAAGCUCAUUUACCCGGGAUGAUAAUGACAGUACCGGGAGAAUAAGCACCGGCUAACUCCGUG